rnacentral:rRNA from 1 species
UACGGAAGGCAGCAGUGGGGAAUAUUGCACAAUGGGCGCAAGCCUGAUGCAGCCAUGCCGCGUGUAUGAAGAAAGGCCUUCGGGUUGUAAAGUACUUUCAGCGGGGAGGAAGGCGAUGCGGUUAAUAACCGCGUCGAUUGACGUUACCCGCAGAAGAAGCACCGGCUAACUCCGUGCCAGCAGCCGCGGUAAUACGGAGGGUGCAAGCGUUAAUCGGAAUUACUGGGCGUAAAGCGCACGCAGGCGGUCUGUUUAAGUCAGAUGUGAAAUCCCCGGGCUUAACCUGGGAACUGCAUUUUGAAACUGGCAGGCUUGAGUCUUGUAGAGGGGGUAGAAUUCCAGGUGUAGCGGUGAAAUGCGUAGAGAUCUGGAGGAAUACCGGUGGCGAAGGCGGCCCCUGGGACAAAGCUGACGCUCAGGUGCGAAAGCGUGGGGAGCAAACAGGAUUAGGAUACC